rnacentral:rRNA from 1 species
AAACGUAGUAUGGCCUGCCCACUGAUUUAAAAAUUGAAGGGCCGCAGUAUCCUGACUGUGCAAAGGUAGCAUAAUCAUUAGUUUCUUAAUUGGGAGCUUGUAUGAAUGGUYGGACGAGAAAAGUACUGUUUCUUUUAGAGGUUUUGAAUUUAACUUCUAGGUGCAAAGGCUUAGAUGAGUUUGGGGGACGAUAAGACCCUAUAAAUCUUUACAAUUGUUUUAUUGUUUGGGUAGUUUGUUUGUUUAUAUUCGGCGAUAAAGAUUAGUUGUUUCGCUGGGGCGGCGUUCAUAAAAUAAUUAACUGUUUUGGAAAAAUACAAUAAUUUUUGUUUAAGGUUUAAAGGUCCUUAUUAGAGAUUACAAGUUAAAGUUACUUUAGGGAUAACAGCGUUAUUUUUUUUAAGAGUUCAUAUCUAAAAAAAAGUUUGCGACCUCGAUGUUGAAUUAAAAUUUCCUGGGGGUUGUAGAAGCUUGGGGGGAGAGUCUGUUCGACUUUUAAAUUUUUACAUGAUUUGAGUUCAGACCGGCGU